rnacentral:lncRNA from 1 species
GUGCGCACCAAUUUGUCCCGAAAUAAACGCAAACUGAGUGAGUCUUGAUGGUCCAAUGGGAAUGCUCAGGAGGGUCGAUGGUCCAACAUCGCUAGGGCAAAACACAUUAUGAUCUACGUGCCCAUGAUGCUGCCGGAUCUCUUUUCUUUUUGCCAAAACAUGAUGCUGCCGGAUCUCGGUGCAUCAUGAGAGGCGAACCAUCAAA